rnacentral:rRNA from 1 species
UGACGCUGAGGAGCGAAAGCGUGGGGAGCGAACAGGAUUAGAUACCCUGGUAGUCCACGCCGUAAACGGUGGAUGCUGGAUGUGGGGCCCGUUCCACGGGUUCCGUGUCGGAGCUAACGCGUUAAGCAUCCCGCCUGGGGAGUACGGCCGCAAGGCUAAAACUCAAAGAAAUUGACGGGGGCCCGCACAAGCGGCGGAGCAUGCGGAUUAAUUCGAUGCAACGCGAAGAACCUUACCUGGGCUUGACAUGUUCCCGACGGUCGUAGAGAUACGGCUUCCCUUCGGGGCGGGUUCACAGGUGGUGCAUGGUCGUCGUCAGCUCGUGUCGUGAGAUGUUGGGUUAAGUCCCGCAACGAGCGCAACCCUCGCCCCGUGUUGCCAGCGGAUUAUGCCGGGAACUCACGGGGGACCGCCGGGGUUAACUCGGAGGAAGGUGGGGAUGACGUCAGAUCAUCAUGCCCCUUACGUCCAGGGCUUCACGCAUGCUACAAUGGCCGGUACAACGGGAUGCGACGCGGCGACGCGGAGCGGAUCCCUGAAAACCGGUCUCAGUUCGGAUCGCAGUCUGCAACUCGACUGCGUGAAGGCGGAGUCGCUAGUAAUCGCGAAUCAGCAACGUCGCGGUGAAUGCGUUCCCGGGCCUUGUACACACCGCCCGUCAAGUCAUGAAAGUGGGCAGCACCCGAAGCCGGUGGCCUAACCCCUUGUGGGAUGGAGCCGUCUAAGGUGAGGCUCGUGAUUGGGACUAAGUCGUAACAAGGUAGCCGUACCGGAAGGUGCGGCUG